rnacentral:lncRNA from 1 species
AGAUUAAUAUAAAGGUUUGACAAUUUUUUCACAUUGAAGGUGUACAUUAUUUCGAAGGUACAAUAAGGUAGAACUAUUUCAACACUACGAUUCCAAAAAGUUACAUUUCUCCAUAAAAAAUCAAAAGAUCCAAACUUGAAUAAUUUCUUCGCUAGAUUUCCAAAGCUAUAUUUGUCUAAGCAAAAUCUAAAACGUAAUUUUGUUUCAAUGCUACAACGAAAGCUGGCAAUAUUUCUGGUACAAAGUGAAAUCUUCCAACAACAUUUCAAAUACGACGCUUACAUUGUUUACCCCCCGUUUUUUAUAAAACUGUAUCAAGAAAAAACUACCAUUAAUCUUAGAUGAUACAUUAAUACAAAGGUUUGACAAUUUUUGCAUAUUGAAGGUAUAGAUUAUUUCGAAGGUACAACAAGGUACAAUGAUUUCAAAACUACGAUUCCAAAAAGUUACAUUUCUCUAUGAAAAAUCAAAAGAUUUAAACAUAAAUAAUUUCUUCGCUAGAUUUCCAAGGUUAUAUUUGUCUAAGCAAAAUGUAAAAGGUAAAUUUUUGUUCAAUGCUACAAAGUGAAAUCUCCCAAAAACAUUUCAAAUACGACGCAUAUAUUUUUUACUCCCCGUUUCUUAUAAACCUUUAUCAAGAAAAAACUACAAAAAAUCUUAUAUGGUAGAUUAAUACAAAGGUUUGGCAAUUGUUUCACAUUGAAUGUGUAGAUUAUUUCGAAGGUACAAUAAGGUAGAACUAUUUCAACACUACGAUUCCAAAAA